CAGUUGCUUUUUAACAAACAUCUCUUAAUUAGUUCUGAUCAUUUAAUGUAAAGGUACUCCAGAGGAGAAAAAACCUUUUUAAUCCAUUCCCAGAACAAAAGGUGUAAGCAAGUUGCCAUCACCUGUAGUUUGUUGGACUAUAUAGUAGUGGUGGUGAUGUGUUUGCAUUUGACUAAAUUUUCAGUAUUGUCAUUGGCUGUUUUCCCCUGUUAAUCUUUUCAUGAAGUACAAAAUAAAUCUAGCCUUACAUACACAAUCACUUCAUAAAAGAGCAAAGAAAACUUCAGUUGUGAAAGAAGAACAAAUAUGCUGAAAUCCUUUGAAGUCCUUCCCCACAGCCCCAGAUCUCCAUUGUAAUGAAGCUCCCAUCAUUCGUUUGUCCGCCCAUGUUAAUAUUUCCUUUUCUUCCUGUUUCCAUUCUAGCUGGGAGAUAUGAAGGGGCAGAAGAAAAGGACAAGUGCCAGAAGAAGAGGAACCUGGAGGAGAGCCAGGAAAGACAGCUAUAAAGAUAUUUCUGUUUGAGGCUUAAGAAGCAGCAGAUCAAGAAUGACCCAGUUUAGGAGCUUUCCCGUCAGAGAAAUGAUUGGUUGAUGACAGUGUCUGCCUGGGAUGAUGCUUGGUCAGGAUUAAGCCUGAAUGCACUCAAGAAAUCCGCUGCAAUCCAGAUGGUUUGAUGCUGAGGGAUGAGCACCACUGGGAAUGCCACGUACUGAAGCUGAUCAGGGACUGGCACUCAGGAGACUGUGGUUAUAUUCCUGGUUUUGCAUACGUGUAGAGGGGCUCCCUUUGGAAAUUUGGUGACACAUCUGCUGCCUUCGGAGUUGAAAUUCUUCUAAAUGCUUGCCUGGUUCAGCCUGAUUCACCUGAACUUUCCCUAGAUCAGGUAAGAACAAUUAAUUGUUUUUAAGGAUUAAUGGUCUCUUGUCAGAUGAAUGAGCUUCUGUUGAAACGCUGCGUAUUGAAAACACAAGGCCAUGGCUAUCUGCAUUUAUAAUACAGCUGUUGUCUUGAGGGAAUAACUCCUAUUCUCUAGCUAAAGCUUGAAGACUUUGAGAGAC